CCAGACUCCUACGGGAGGCAGCAGUGGGGAAUAUUGCACAAUGGGGGAAACCCUGAUGCAGCGACGCCGCGUGAGCGAUGAAGUAUUUCGGUAUGUAAAGCUCUAUCAGCAGGGAAGAAAAUGACGGUACCUGACUAAGAAGCCCCGGCUAACUACGUGCCAGCAGCCGCGGUAAUACGUAGGGGGCAAGCGUUAUCCGGAUUUACUGGGGGUAAAGGGGGCGUAGACGGCAUGGCAAGCCAGAUGUGAAAUGCCGGGGCUCAACCCCGGGACUGCAUUUGGAGCUGUUAAGCUGGAGUGUCGGAGAGGCAGGCAGAAUUCCUAGUGGAGCGGUGAAAUGCGUAGAUAUUAGGAGGAACACCAGUGGCGAAGGCGGC
rnacentral:rRNA from 1 species